CUCUUGCAAGACCGGUCUGUCUACGUGCCAGAAAAGGGUCUGAAGGAAGUGUAGGGAUUGGUGGUGACCACAAAUAAUGGCUGGCUAGUGAGCUAAGCCCAAAUUUGUGGACUUAGCUGCAUAUGUAUUAUUAUUAUUAUUAUUAUUAUUAUUAUUAUUAUUAUUAAUUCAAUUUCUAUACCACCCUUCCAAAAAUGGCUCAAGGAGGUUUACAUAGAGAAAUAAUACACAAAUAAAUAAGAUGGAUCCCUGUCCCCAAAGGGCUCAUAUUCUAAAAAGAAACAUAAGAUAGACACCAGCGAUAGUCACUGGAAGUAUUGUGCUGGGGGUGGAUAGGGCCAGCUCCUCUCCCCCUGCUAAAUAAAGAGAAUCACCACGUUAAAAAGGUGCCUCUUUGCCCAGUUAGCAGGGGACAACAACUUGAUUUUUUUUUUUUUUUGCACAACUUGGUUUUUCUUGUGCAGCAUCUGGUUUGCCACGGAAGCUGCAGCACAGAGUAGCUUGGGUCUAGUUUUCCUACAUGGAAAGGGCUCCUAGAGCUAGUGAUGUGCACGAAUCCGUUUUGCCCGGUUUGGUUAGAAUCUGAACUGGAUUUGAACUGGACCAGGCAUGUUUGGUUUGGGCACCCCUCAAACCAGACCCUUGUUUAGUUUGAAGUGGGGCCUGGUUCAAGGGUGGUGGUGGUGACAAAAUUGAUUCAAAAGACUUAGCGCUGCCAUGGACUGUGGUGGCCUUGGGGGGGUGCUGCAGCAGCCGCGGGUGUGUGUGGCAGCUCCCGCUCCCCCCCCACCCCGCUGGCCUCCCCGAGUCUCCCUGGCCUGGUUCGGCCUGUUUCGGGUGUGUUUAAGCUUUUUGCAGAUGCGGCGGCCAUUUUUUUGGCCACUACUCAUGCUUACUGGCCAUUUGCGUGAUCUGGGCCAGGCCAGGCCUAUGGGAUACACUGAAGUUGAGCAGUGAAGGAUGAGGCCCAGUCCCUGAAAUCGUCUCUAAAAAUGAGGUGUGGGCACUCUCUACAAUGACAUCUGGCAUGUGGGGCUGCAGCCACCAGGAGAUUGCCUGCGCCAUCCAUACAUGAGAACAGGGACUCAAACUGUGAUCGUCCUGCAGAUGUCGGCCUAGGACUUGCAUCACGCCUAGAUGCUGGUUGCUGGGGCUGGGAAUGAUGGGAGUGGUAGUCCAACCACUGGAGGGUGUGGAGGUGGGAAACAGAAGAAAAUGAGAAACAAGCCUGAGGCCUAUUUCUAGAGUCAUCGGAAGGAAGGACUUGAACGAAAAGAACAGAAAAUUGCUCAGCUUGAAGAAUAGUCACUCAAGACAGUUGGAACCCCUUCUGCUUCUGAGGGACAAAGGUGCCUAAAACUUGCCAUGAUGAGUUAACACAUGCACACCCGGGAUGUACUGCAACAUUUUGCGUGGGUCCAUGCUUGUAUUUCUCUAAUUGUGGCUAUAAAAUGUUGGCAACCAUUUUAACUGUUUGCUUACAAAAAGUUCUAGAAAAAUAAAUUAAUAAUGAUCAAA